rnacentral:rRNA from 1 species
GGAAUCUGCCUGGUAGUGGGGGAUAACGUCCGGAAACGGGCGCUAAUACCGCAUACGUCCUGAGGGAGAAAGUGGGGGAUCUUCGGACCUCACGCUAUCAGAUGAGCCUAGGUCGGAUUAGCUAGUUGGUGGGGUAAAGGCCUACCUAGGCGACGAUCCGUAACUGGUCUGAGAGGAUGAUCAGUCACACUGGAACUGAGACACGGUCCAGACUCCUACGGGAGGCAGCAGUGGGGAAUAUUGGACAAUGGGCGAAAGCCUGAUCCAGCCAUGCCGCGUGUGUGAAGAAGGUCUUCGGAUUGUAAAGCACUUUAAGUUGGGAGGAAGGGCAGUAAGUUAAUACCUUGCUGUUUUGACGUUACCAACAGAAUAAGCACCGGCUAACUUCGUGCCAGCAGCCGCGGUAAUACGAAGGGUGCAAGCGUUAAUCGGAAUUACUGGGCGUAAAGCGCGCGUAGGCGGUUCAGCAAGUUGGAUGUGAAAUCCCCGGGCUCAACCUGGGAACUGCAUCCAAAACUACUGAGCUAGAGUACGGUAGAGGGUGGUGGAAUUUCCUGUGUAGCGGUGAAAUGCGUAGAUAUAGGAAGGAACACCAGUGGCGAAGGCGACCACCUGGACUGAUACUGACACUGAGGUGCGAAAGCGUGGGGAGCAAACAGG